AAAACAUUGUUAAGUCACAACAACAACAACAAUAACAUAUAACAUUCAAGACAUUUCUAAGUCACAACAAUAAAACAAAAAUGACAACAACAACAAUAACAUAUAUAACAUUCUAAACAACAAUGAAAACGAUAACAUAUAAUAUUUAAAACAAUGUCAAGUCAUAACAACAAAACAAAAACAACAAAAACAAAACAAAACAACAACAACAAAAACAACACCGCCAACAACACCAACAACAUAUAACAUUCAAAACUUUGCUAAGUCAUAACAACUAAACAAAAAAAUCAACAAUCUUAAUAUUAAUAAAACAACAACAUCAAAAAUAAACCUUUUCAUUCUUAU
rnacentral:lncRNA from 1 species